UACAGAGGUCCCAAGCGUUGUUCGGAUUUACUGGGCGUAAAGGGUGCGUAGGUGGUCGGGUAAGUCUCAUGUGAAAUCCCGCAGCUUAACUGCGGAACGGCAUGGGAUACUAUUCGGCUCGAGGAUUGGAGGGGGGACUGGAAUUCCCGGUGUAGCAGUGAAAUGACGUAGAUAUCGGGAGGAACACCAGUGGCGAAGGCGAGUCCCUGGACAAUUCCUGACGCUGAGGCACGAAAGCCAGGGGAGCAAACAGG
rnacentral:rRNA from 1 species